rnacentral:rRNA from 1 species
UAAAAAAAAUUAUUAGUAUUUAAUUUUAUAUUUAAUUUAUAAUAAGUAUAUUAUAUUUUAUUAAUUAUUAAGAAAAAAUUUGUUUUUGUUAUAGUUAAUUAGUAUUGUAAAAGAAAUUUUAAUAUAUAAAUAAGAAGUAUUUAUUUUAUGUACCUUGUGUAUCAGGGUUUAUUAAAUAUAAAUAUAAUAUUUAUAUUUUCUCGAAUUUAAAAGAGCGAAAAAUAAAUAUUUAAUAUUGUUGAAUAACUAUAUAAAAUUUAUUUUUAGUAAUGAAAUGUUAUUCGUUUUUAAAUUUAUCUAGUUUUUUAAGAAAAAAAUUUAAUUUUAUUAUAUAUUUAUUAAUAUAUUAAUUUAUUAAUAUAUUUUUAUGUAUAAUUAAUGAUUUUAGGGAUGAGCUUAAAAUUAAAUAUUUAUAAAAUUUAUAUAAAAUAUAUAAUUUAUAGGAUUAAAAAUUUUCAUUGUUAAUAAUUUGUUAUAAUUAAUUAUUAUAUUAUUAUUUUUUAUAUUAUUUUUAAUUUUUUUAUUAAAAAAUUGAUUAUAAUUUUAAAUAUUACGUUAUAAUGAUAAAAUUAGUAUAAAUUAAAUUAUUAAUAUUAAAAUUUAUUAAUAUUUAAUAAAGGAAUUCGGCAAAUUAAUUUUUCACCUGUUUAUUAAAAACAUGUCUUUUAGAUUAUAAUUAAAAGUCUAGCCUGCCCACUGAUUAAUUAAAUGGCCGCGGUAUUUUGACCGUGCAAAGGUAGCAUAAUCAUUAGUUUUUUAAUUGAAAGCUGGAAUGAAAGGUUGAAUGAAAAAAUUACUGUCUCUAUUAGAAUAAUAAAAUUUUAUUUUUAAGUUAAAAAGCUUAAAUUAAAUUUAAAGACGAGAAGACCCUAUAGAGUUUAAUAAUAAAUUAUAUUUAUUUUUUUAAGCAUUAAUAAUAUAUAGAUAAUUUAUUUUUUAAUUGGGGUGAUUGAAAAAUUUAUAUAACUUUUUUUAUUAUUAUACAUUUAUUUAUGAAUAUAUGAUCCAAAAUGAUUGAUUAAAAGAUAAAAUUACCUUAGGGAUAACAGCGUUAUUUUUUUUGAGAGUUCUUAUCGAAAAAAAAGAUUGCGACCUCGAUGUUGGAUUAAAAUAAAUUUUUGGUGUAGAAGCUAAAAUAAUUAGGUCUGUUCGACCUUUAAAAUUUUACAUGAUCUGAGUUUAAACCGGUGUAAGCCAGGUUGGUUUCUAUCUUAAAUUUAAAUUAAUAUUUUAGUACGAAAGGACCAAAUAUUA